GCCAGGCGUGGUGGCGGGCGCCUGUAAUCCCAGCUACUCUGGAGGCUGAGGUAGGAGAAUCACUUGAACCCAGGAGGCGGAGGUUGUAGUGAGCCGAGAUCGGGCCACUGCACUCCAGCCUGGGUGACAGAGUGGGACUCCGUCUCAA
ensembl:misc_RNA Metazoa_SRP Metazoan signal recognition particle RNA